GUCUAUUUGGAGAUAUAGAAAGUCUGGCCUGCUCACUGAUAAUUAUUAUUUAAGAGCCGCGGUAUUUUGACUGUGCAAAGGUAGCAUAAUCGUUAGUUUUUUAAUUGAAAUCUUGUAUGAAUGGUUUGACAAAAAAAAGUCUGUCUUUAUUAUUAUUUAUUGAAUUUAACUUUUAAGUGAAAAGGCUUAAAUAUGUUAAAAAGACGAUAAGACCCUAUAAAGCUUAAUAUUAAUUUUUGAUUUAAUAAAAUUUUUUAAGUGUAUAAAUAUUUGGUGAUUGGUUUUUAUUUUAUUGGGGCGAUAAUGGUAAAAUGGUUAUUAACUGUUAAUUGAUUUAGACAAUAAUAAGUGAAUAGAUAAUUAUGAUAAUUGAUCCUAUAUUAUAGAUUAAAAGUUUAAGUUACUUUAGGGAUAACAGCGUUAUUUUUUUUGAGAGUUCUUAUCGAGAAAAAAGUUUGCGACCUCGAUGUUGAAUUAAAAUAUCUAUAUAAUUGUAGUAGUUAUAUAAGAAGGUCUGUUCGACCUUUAAAUUUUU
rnacentral:rRNA from 1 species